rnacentral:rRNA from 1 species
GACGAACGCUGGCGGCGUGCUUAACACAUGCAAGUCGAACGGAAAGGCCCGGCUGUUGUGGGGUGCUCGAGGGGCGAACGGGGGAGUAACACGUGAGUAACCUGCCCUUGACUUUGGGAGAACUUCAGGAAACUGGGGCUAAUACCGGAUAGGAGCUCCUGCUGCAGGGGGGGGGUGGGAAAGUUUCGGCGGUAGGGGAUGGACUCGCGGCUUAUCAGCUUGUUGGUGGGGUAGUGGCAUACCAAGGCUUUGACGGGUAGCCGGCCUGAGAGGGUGACCGGCCACAUUGGGCCUGCGCUACGGCCCAGACUCCAACGGGAGGCAGCAGUGGAGAGUAUUGCACAAUGGGCGGGAGCCUGAUGCGGCAGCGCCGCGUGCGGUAUGCCGGCCUUCGGGUUGUAAACCGCUUUCGCCUGUGACGAAGCGUGAGUGACGGUACUGGGUAAAGAAGCACCGGCUAACUACGUG